UCUCACUCUGGAAGCAUACCUGGGAGUUCCCGUAGAAGACAGUUCUUGGAGCUGAAGAUGGACGUUGUGUUCCUGGUGAGGGCCCUCCUCUGGGUUCAGGCAGCUAUUCUGUCUUCACAUGGAAAAGAGAGAGAGAGAACUUGUGCAGAAGAAACCAAUGCAAGGAUUGAGAGCUAACCCGAGUGGGAAUGGUGGGAAGUGAGGAUGCAAGACGCACAAAACACACAAGAGACAAAGAAUAGGGUGGGGCCGAGAGGGCUGACACAGCUGACGACUGCAGCCAGCAUGGAACCAAACAGGGGAAACAGCUUUAUUUGUACAAUAUCUUAACAAAGUUGCUAAACAAUGUAAAUCUUAGCACAUGGGGAUCAACCUUAUAGAGGAAAAACUGUGUGCUGUCUGAUAAUAAGAAAAAAAAAAUACCUUUCUUGGGCCAAGGUUGCUAAACAAUGUAAAUCUUAGCACAUGGGGAUCAAUCUUAUAGAGGAAAACCUGUGUGCUGUCUGCUAAUAAGAAAAAAAAAAAUACCUUUCUUGGGCAGCACCUGUGGCUCAGUGAGUAGGGCGCCAGCCCCAUAUACAGAGGGUGAUGGGUUCAAACCCAGCUCUGGCCAAACUGCAACAAAAAAAUAGCUGGGCGUUGUGGCAGGUGCCUGUAGCCCCAGCUGAGGCAAGAGAAUCACCUAAACCCAGGAAUUGGAGGUUGCAGUGAGCUGUGAUGUCAUAACACUCUACAGAGGGUGAUAAAGUGAGACAUGUUUAAAAAAAAAAAAAGUAUUCAUGGGCUACAUGACUUCUUGCAGUGAAAAGAAUGUUGUUUAUAGGAAGAGAAGUAGUUGGGGGUCACUCCCUGAGCAUUUCUCGCCUGACAGCCCAUUCCCCACAUAUCUUCCUUUUCAAUUUUAUUUUUUCCAAUUUGUGAAUAAACGUUUUUUACUUGGAGGAUGUUUGACUCUGACUCUGCAGAAGACAAAAAUGUCAUUAGCCAAUUGGGCAGGACUACAAAUGUCCAAAUACGACCCAGGCGUAACAAACAUGACAAGUAACAGUAGCCAUCAAUGCAGUCUCAAGGGUGACUAGCCGCCAUAACGUUUGUACAAGGUCAGUUCAGCUUAUCCCCAGUUGAGGGGCUUCGCUUUCUGUGAAGUCUCGACAUGGGGGUCAGCCUCCCCAUUGGCAGCACAAGAAGUUCUUCUGGCUCUAUGUCAAGGAGCCAACAGGCUGUCAGCUGUUCUAAGAAAAACACAAACACAACUUCUUCCCUGGAGAGAGACAAGCUUUAGCAACAGAUAACAGACUCCAUUAAAUCCAUUGUUUUGUUAAUGACUGUAAGAUCUUGUAGAAGAUACCACUUUUCUUUUUUCUCCAAGCUUAUAAGCCUGAGUCUCUUCACUAAUAACAUAUCUUACAAUAAAAGGAAUGCUAUUUUGUCUGUUUCUUUCUGCCUGCUUGGCAGUCCAUUUGGACCAUUCUUAUUUACAUAACAAAUCAUUAGUACAAGAGAGCCUCCUUACUUAAAGUAUCUGUUUUAACUCCUUAAAGAUUUUGAAAGAAAGUGGUGAAUAUUCCCUAAUGGCCGUCUUGUUGAUCUGUAGUUUCUAGUACUGGGAAAUAAGAAAAGCCAUCUAGAUCUCCCCCUUGGUUAUAAGCUUGUGCGAGGGUUUUUUUGUAAUGAAGAUGU